AACAACUCCGCAUUGCUAGCUCACCCAUAGGCAUCUGUGAGCUAUACCCACCACCCCAAUGCAGCUUUCUCAAACUACAUGAUUCCUAAAAGUGAACAGAAUGAAUGGUUGGUUGAAAUAGAAAAAACAAGAAAAUGGAAGCCUUCAUUUUUAGACAGUCCCUGUAGGACAGCAGAAGAAAACGUAUUGCUCUUUAGUUGGCAUCCUGCCUUUACUGAUGAGAUGUUAGCAGUUCCCAAGAAGAAGAAAAUCCAUAUGCCAAAGGAAGCUGUGGGCUCAAUUUCUAUGGAAGAAGAGUGUUGGAUGAAGCAUGGAAACAGGUAGCAGCACACUGAGACAGCAUACACCUAUGGUACUGCUGAGCAAUGAAAGAAACACAGAACAAGCAAUGGAUGUUCGUGGAAAAUUCCAGACACCAACUAGAUCUGGAUACAAUUGAUAAAGAGGACAAAGAACUAAUGGCAUGGAUUUAAUGGAUCAAGUUUCUCUUCUGCAGUUCAUCUCUUCGUUAAUGGCCCAUGAAAAGUGAAGACAAGAGAUUUGGACCAAAGAGCUGCCAGAGACUAAACCAAGCAUUACCUCUUGAAGGAUUGUAUCAUUGAUGCUUUAAAUUAAAACUUUAUUGCCAUUGUAAAAUGUCUGUGAGUUACCCAGAAAAAAUAAAAUAUAUGAUUUUCAGAUAGCGG
rnacentral:lncRNA from 7 species